CUCAAGUGGCGGACGGGUGAGUAACACGUAAGAAUUUGCCUUUAGGAGGGGGACAACAACUGGAAACGGUUGCUAAUACCCCAUAUGCUUUCGAGUGAAAGGGUUUUUCCGGCUAAAGAGAAGCUUGCGGCUGAUUAGCUUGUUGGUGAGGUAAUGGCUCACCAAGGCGACGAUCAGUAUCUGGUUUGAGAGGACGAUCAGACACACUGGAACUGAGACACGGUCCAGACUCCUACGGGAGGCAGCAGUGGGGAAUUUUCCGCAAUGGGCGAAAGCCUGACGGAGCAAUACCGCGUGAGGGAUGACGGCCUAUGGGUUGUAAACCUCUUUUUUCAGGGAGGAAUCUAUGACGUGUACCUGAAGAAUAAGCAUCGGCUAACUCCGUGCCAGCAGCCGCGGUAAGACGGAGGAUGCAAGUGUCAUCCGGAAUCACUGGGCGUAAAGCGUCUGUAGGUGGUCAAAUAAGUCAACUGUUACAUCUUGAGGCUUCACCUCAAAGAUCGCAGUCGAAACUAUUAGACUAGAGUAUAGUAGGGGUAAA
rnacentral:rRNA from 1 species